UUUUCUUUCGUUUUCUUUUUCUUUGAGUUCCGAGAGAUGCUACCGUGGCCGAGCAGGGGAAAGGCUCUGCCCCAUCCGCAGGCAGCGCCGCCGCCGACCAGGGCAAAGGGGUGCAUGGGAUUGCGCUCGGUAAGGGCAAGGAGGCGGUCGCAUCAUCGGGUUCAGGCACCGCCGACGAGGGGAAAGGACCGGUGACUGCGCUCUACAAGGGCAAGGAGGUGGUGGCACAGGCAUCGGCCGCGCCUGGGGAUUUGUCUGCGCAUGCUGGCACGGGCGUGGAUGAAUCCGACAUCGAAAAGAUGACUGCUCUCGUUGCCGAGCUUCCUGCUGUUCUGCCGGCGCAAGUCCACAACAAGGGGAAACAGAAGAGAAACUCUCCUGGGUAAGACCUCAAAGCAUUCAUCUUUUCUGGGUUUCG